UUAUAAUUAGCCUUGGAGUUACGUUUACAACAUAUAGCCAUAGAAAUGCAAAUAACAAAUAACAAAUAACAAUUUUUGAUUGGAUGUCAAAUUAUAAACAUUCAAAUAGCUCGAAAUUCAAACUUACUUUAUGCUUCGCUGUCAUUGCAAGAAGUUGUUGAUGAAUAAUCUCAAGUCAAGUAAUUAAAGCCAGCAUGUUGUCAGUGAUGCGGUCACCGUCCUUGUCAACAAGGGGCUACGAUGAAGUACCUCAGCACCCACUAGAAAGAUUACACCCAUUACGUGUAGAUGUUGAAUUAAGGAGGAACACAUUCACAAACUGGCCAUCGAAUAUGUUCGUGUCACCUGGAAAGUUGUGUGAUAAUGGCUUCUACUAUAUGGGAAUCACGGACAAGGUCCAGUGUGCUUUUUGUGGAGGAAUUUUAAGUGGUUGGACAAAAGACGAUGAUGUCCAUCGUGAACAUUCUAAACAUUUCGGACAAUGUGAACUUGUUCGUGUGAAGAACAAUAACUGUGUUAGGAGGUUUGAAUUUUCUAACUCAGUUCAGAAAUGUCAGACGAAAGAAAAUAAAUCUCCAGAAAAGAAUGUAAAACCGCACAAUAGCCAAUAUUCUUUAUAUUGUGACAGACUGUCUACCUACCAAACAUGGUCAAAAACCUUGAAACAGAGACCUAACGAUUUAGCAGCUACUGGUCUUUACUACAAAGGUACUAAAGACACCUGUCAGUGCUAUAUGUGUGGAGGGAUACUCUCUGGUUGGGAAAGUGAAGACAUUCCACAAGCUGAACAUAAAAAAUGGUUUCCGAAAUGUCCACUUGUUUCCUGUUGACCGUUUACACAUACGCGAAGUUACGAU